UCUCCGUUGGUGAACCAGCGGAGGGAUCAUUACCGAGUUUACAACUCCCAAACCCCUGUGAACAUACCAUUUGUUGCCUUGGCGGUGCCUGCUUCGGCAGCCCGCCAGAGGACCCAAACCCUUGAUUUUAUACAGUAUCUCCUGAGUAAAUGAUUAAAUAAAUCAAAACUUUCAACAACGGAUCUCUUGGUUCUG
rnacentral:misc_RNA from 1 species